rnacentral:tRNA from 1 species
GGAGAUGUAGCUAAGUGGAAGAGUAUUUGCCUAGCACGCAUGAGGCCCUGGGUUUGAACCCCAGCCCA